rnacentral:rRNA from 1 species
GAAUUCGAUUGUGCCAGCAGCCGCGGUAAUACAUAGGGGGCAAGCGUUAUCCGGAAUUAUUGGGCGUAAAGGGUGCGUAGGCGGUUUGUUAAGUCUAAGGUGUAAGUUCAAGGCUCAACCUUGUGAUGCUUUAGAAACUGGCGGACUAGAGAUAGAUAGAGGCAAGUGGAAUUCCAUGUGUAGCGGUAAAAUGCGUAAAUAUAUGGAGGAACACCAGUGGCGAAGGCGGCUUGCUGGGUCUAUACUGACGCUGAGGCACGAAAGCGUGGGGAGCAAACAGGAUUAGAUACCCUGGUAGUCCACGCCGUAAACGAUGAGUACUAAGUGUUGGGGGAACCCAGUGCUGUAGUUAACAUAUUAAGUACUCCGCCUGAGUAGUACGUACGCAAGUAUGAAACUCAAAGGAAUUGACGGGACCCCGCACAAGCGGUGGAUGAUGUUGUUUAAUUCGAAGAUACGCGAAAAACCUUACCAGGUCUUGACAUACUCUGCAAAGCUAUAGAGAUAUAGUGGAGGUUAACAGAUGUACAGGCGGUGCAUGGUUGUCGUCAGCUCGUGUCGUGAGAUGUUGGGUUAAGUCCCGCAACGAGCGCAACCCUUAUUGCUAGUUACCAUCAUUCAGUUGGGGACUCUAGCGAGACUGCCAGUGAUAAACUGGAGGAAGGUGGGGAUGACGUCAAAUCAUCAUGCCCCUUAUGACCUGGGCUACAAACGUCAUACAAUGGCUGAAACAAAGAGAAGCGAAGCAGUGAUGUGGAGCAAACUCAUAAAAGCAGUCUCAGUUCAGAUUGUAGUCUGCAACUCGACUACAUGAAGUCGGAAUCGCUAGUAAUCGCAGAUCAGCAUGCUGCGGUGAAUACGUUCUCGGGGUUUGCACACACCGCCCGUCAAUCACUAGU